UGCCCUAGUAACGGCGAGUGAAGCGGCAACAGCUCAAAUUUGAAAUCUGGCUCUCGGGCCCGAGUUGUAAUUUGUAGAGGAUGCUUUUGAUGCGGUGCCUUCCGAGUUCCCUGGAACGGGACGCCAUAGAGGGUGAGAGCCCCGUCUGGUUGGAUACCAAAUCUCUGUAAAGCUCCUUCGACGAGUCGAGUAGUUUGGGAAUGCUGCUCUAAAUGGGAGGUAUAUGUCUUCUAAAGCUAAAUACCGGCCAGAGACCGAUAGCGCACAAGUAGAGUGAUCGAAAGAUGAAAAGCACUUUGAAAAGAGAGUUAAAAAGUACGUGAAAUUGUUGAAAGGGAAGCGUUUAUGACCAGACUUGGGCUUGGUUAAUCAUCUGGGGUUCUCCCAGUGCACUUUUCCAGUCCAGGCCAGCAUCAGUUUUCGCCGGGGGAUAAAGGGUUCGGGGAAUGUGGCUCUCUCCGGGGAGUGUUAUACCCCGUUGCGUAAUACCCUGGCGGGGACUGAGGUUCGCGCUG
rnacentral:rRNA from 1 species